GAGUUUGAAGAUUUCACCUACAUAUGUUGCAAUAAAAUGACUAAGAAAAAAUAUUUGCAUUUAGCGCAACCACACCUUCACAUAGAAAACACUUGGUUUUAAUAAGCAUGGUCAGCUCAAGCACAAAUUCCCCACCGAAAAUUUCUCAAAACCAAGUUCACAUGCCCAAUUGCAUAUUCAACCAUUCCAUUAUAAACCACACCAAGACAUUGAAAUCAUAGGCCUAUCAAACAACCAAGCUAUAUAAGGAUGUUGAGGACAAAUGGAGGUGGAGCUUAAAUGCAUUUGGGAACUAUGUGAAAACCACUUAUCUCAUUCAAGUGGAUCAAAGUCUUUCGCCCGUAGGUAAUACUUUAAAAAUGUGAUUGUGUGCCCUAAAAAAUUUAUUGUUUUGUUUGGAAUCUCACCAGACAAAAUCUUCCCAAAAAGGUAGAGUUAUUCAAAGGAUAAAUUAUCCAUAGGGUUGAAGAUAUCAAGUAUAUCAUUU
rnacentral:lncRNA from 1 species